CCCGCCCCGCCGCCGGAGCCAGGCCGCGCCGCCGCCACCCUUCCCGCGGAGGCCCCUCCGCCCUCCCUCCGAUCAUCCUCCAAGGUGUUGACAGAUGGUGGGCGCGGGUCGAGAGCGCUCCGAGCCUCCUUCCUCGACGCAUGCUGGGAGGGGUGUUGUUAUUCCACCACAGCACCUUCGAAGAGCGCUGGUAGAUGGCAUGCACACACCGGCGGACGCUUCUUCUUCGGCCGGGAGAGGUCGGGGGAAGACGAAGAGGGGUGCAGCUAGAGGUGGACGUGGCGGCGGGAGAGGUAGGAGGGUUGCUGCGCCUUCCUCGCCGCCACCCCCAGCUGAUUCUCCAGACCACCGGAGUGCUCCAUCUCAGGUGGACCCGUCAGACUUGGACCCGUCUCGGACUCCGGUCCAUGAGCCUCGGGCCGACGAGCCUUGGGUCGCCGAGCCUUCUUCCUUGGAGACUCGGGCCCCAGAGUCUUCGUCCCACGGGACUCCGGUCCCAGAGUCUUCGUCCCGCGUGACUCCGGAGACUAGUGGCCAUGCUGAUGGCGAGGACACCUGGUCUGACGAUAGUUAUAGCGAGGGCGAGCUGGUUGAGGGGGGCAAGAAGGUCUACCAGCAUGGUGGUCAUGCAGGCGACCCGCGAUCAGAGGUCGUUGAUUCAUCCUAACAGGGAGAAGGGUUGGAUACACCCGAUGGUGUCCGCAGGCCCAACCAGGUCCUUGGUGUGCUUUGCCGGCACCACUUCCCGGGGUGGGUCACGUUGCCCGGUGAGGGUCAGGUUCCACAGCUAGCACUGAGCUGGAUGUUGUACGUGGCUGCCAUGGCCCCGUCGGAGGAGAGGGUCGACGGUGUCUUGUGCGAGACGGUGGCCGACAUUGUGAGGCGGUGUUGGGGAACGUAGCAAAAAUUCAAAA